rnacentral:rRNA from 1 species
UUAAAUGGUAAAUAAUAAUAACCGGAUUAGUAGUAGUUAGAGUCUUGAAAAUUAAAAAAUUUGGCGGUAUUUUAGUCAAUUCAGAGGAACCUGUCCUAUAAUUGAUAUUCCACGAUAAGUAAAACUUAUUUUAUUAAAUUUGUAUAUCGUUGUUUAGAAUUUUUUAUAAGAAUUAAAAUUUUCGUGAAUUUUUAUAUUAACGUAUAUCAAAUCAAGGUGCAGUUUAUAAGUAAGCAGAGAUGGGUUACAUUAAAUUUAUUUUUGGAUUAUAAAUUUAAAUUUUUAUAUGAAAUUGGAUUUGAUAGUAAUAAUGAAUAUUUAUUUAUUAUGAUUUUUGCUCUAAAAUAUGU